rnacentral:rRNA from 1 species
ACGGGGAUUACACGGCGAUGCGAUUUCGGUCAAAUCAAGUGCAAUCUUAGUGGCGGACGGGUGAGUAACGCGUGGGUAACCUGCCUUGCACUGGAGGGAUAACACUUAGAAAUAGGUGCUAAUACCGCAUAAGCGCACGGUCCUGCAUGGGACAGUGUGAAAAACUCCGGUGGUGCAAGAUGGACCCGCGUCUGAUUAGCUGGUUGGCGGGGUAAAGGCCCACCAAGGCGACGAUCAGUAGCCGGCCUGAGAGGGUGGACGGCCACAUUGGGACUGAGACACGGCCCAAACUCCUACGGGAGGCAGCAGUGGGGGAUAUUGGACAAUGGGGGGAACCCUGAUCCAGCGACGCCGCGUGAGUGAAGAAGUAUUUCGGUAUGUAAAGCUCUGUCAGCAGGGAAGAAAGCGAUGACGGUACCUGACCAAGAAGCCCCGGCUAACUACGUGCCAGCAGCCGCGGUAAUACGUAGGGGGCAAGCGUUAUCCGGAAUUACUGGGUGUAAAGGGAGCGUAGACGGCUGUGCAAGUCUGGAGUGAAAGGCGGGGGCCUAACCCCCGGACUGCUCUGGAAACUGUAUGGCUGGAGUGCAGGAGAGGUAAGCGGAAUUCCUAGUGUAGCGGUGAAAUGCGUAGAUAUUAGGAGGAACACCAGUGGGCGAAGGCGGCUUACUGGACUGUAACUGACGUUGAGGCUCGAAAGCGUGGGGAGCAAACAGGAUUAGAUACCCUGGUAGUCCACGCCGUAAACGAUGAUUACUAGGUGUCGGAGGGUAUGGACCCUCCGGUGCCGCAGCAAACGCAGUAAGUAAUCCACCUGGGGAGUACGUUCGCAAGAAUGAAACUCAAAGGAAUUGACGGGGACCCGCACAAGCUGUGGAGCAUGUGGUUUAAUCCGAAGCAACGCGAAGAACCUUACCAAGUCUUGACAUCUGGAUGACAGGGACGUAACGGUCCCCUUACUUCGGUACAUCCAAGACAGGUGGUGCAUGGUUGUCGUCAGCUCGUGUCGUGAGAUGUUGGGUUAAGUCCCGCAACGAGCGCAACCCUUAUCCUUAGUAGCCAGCGGGCAGGGCCGGGCACUCUAGGGAGACUGCCGGGGAUAACCCGGAGGAAGGUGGGGAUGACGUCAAAUCAUCAUGCCCCUUAUGAUUUGGGCUACACACGUGCUACAAUGGCGUAAACAGAGGGAAGCGAACCCGCGAGGGGGAGCAAAUCCCAAAAAUAACGUCCCAGUUCGGAUUGUAGCCUGCAACCCGGCUACAUGAAGCUGGAAUCGCUAGUAAUCG